GAUCGUAUCUGCUAAUUAACGCAAUCGUUUCAUUCAACUCGAGGCAAAGUCCGCGUGCACGUGAUUCUGUUUCUUCGUUAACCGAAGCUUACCAGAUACAAUUUUAAACUUUGUUCAAACAUUUAUGAUGAUUUUUUCUGUUAAACCUAAAGAUACCAGACAUUUGAAGACUCUAUUUUUAGGCAAAUCUUUUAAAACGAAAUUCCAUUUCAAUUUACUCACGCGAUUAUUCGUUUUUUCAAGAAAUCUUUCAAACAGAACUUGCUCUGUUUCGAGGUAGACAUCUUAUCGGCACGAGGUGGUGCCUCGUCUAGUCGAAUACGUUUCCAAGAUUUCACAGUGACUUUUGUUUCAAUAGGAAUCAAGAGGAAUCAUUCUAAUUCCUUAAUAUCUUUGCAAGAUUACAACGAAGCAGAAUAGUGCUGGUUGCUCGAUACUUAAGCUACCUCGCGAUCACACAUUUCGCAUAGUGACGUCAAACCGCGUUAUUUUCGGUCGGUGGAUGUACAUUUAGCUCGAAUCUAGAUCGUAAAAUCAGCUGGCAAUAAGAUACAGUAGCAUCGUGCAACGAACGUGGUUGCACUUUCUGUUGUAACUUCGUGCCUGAACAAAUCAACUCGGUGUUGAUUCAUUUUUUAUACGGCAGAUUUCGAAACCGUUCGCUACCGGUAUUAUGUAAACGGAAACGUCUAACGGAGCUGAACGAAAAUGAUUACUUUAUCCGUUGUUACAUAUCCUCUCAAGAUUGGACGCCAGACUUUCAUCAACGACGCACCCAUGGUCACCCCGGAAGUCGGACGUCCAAUCUUGAAAAUAGGAUCUAAUCAUUUCUGAAGGAUUCUCUAGAUACGUAAUCCAGAACGAAAGGGUUAACCCCGUGAUGCGCGUGUUUACGCGUUGAAAGGCAGUCACGAGACUAAUAGUCGGAUCUAAUAGCGUCUCGUGGGUCGUUCACGACUCUGGUGCACAACCAGUCUGUUCGACGCGGUGAUGCGGCAACACUGACGUAAUCCUUCCUAAUAAAUUUCCUCGAUCUCGAACGCAUUUACACCGCAACCGAACGAUGUAAACGCGCGUGGUGUUAAAACGCAAGCAUCCAACAGAGCGGCACGUGUCAUCUCAAUAUUUUCGUUCGAAUUUUCAAGCUAAAUCAAGAAAUCUGCGCAGUUUGACGGUAAAACGAAAAUAAUUUCAACGAGAAUAUAUCCUAGACACAGACGUUACGGCAGAAAAUCGUGACACAACGUUAUUUGAUCAUCCGUGUCAUCAUUCAUAUUAUCAUAAUUUUGACGAAAUACAAAAUACAUACUAUUUAACACUCUCGGCUAAGGCUACAAAUGUCCCGGGCAACAAAAAUAAAAACACGCCGGAUGCUGUUCAAAUAUAUUUGCCGAUAGUUUUAGAGCCGAACGAAAGAACAUUUUUAUAAAUAACGUGUGCUAAGAAUAACUGGAAUGUUAAAUAACGGAGGAUCGUCUUUUUAGAGCAGAACUUCUUUACGCGACUCAAAGUUUUCUAAACAUUCCUGCUUUCCUAUACCUAUCACAACUUUUUUUUUUUUUUUAUAGAAACCUACGAUGUUGCGUUAAAAAUAAUAUAAAUCUUCUUCCGUCAAGGUCAAUGGAAAAUUUAUAACAAGAAGAGCAGGAGAUAGUUACCGGUAACCGGUUUUCUCCAAUUCGAUUAAUCGAACAAAAGUAUAAUUAAAAUUGCAAAUAUUUCGUAUGCUAUUAAUACGCUUGAUUAGUAAUACCGUUACGAAAUUGAAGAUUAAUAGCUAAUACCUUAGAUAAUUCGUAUCAUCACGUGUCGUAUUACACAUUGUAAUUGGCUACGGUGGGAAUCGAGGCGUUAAUAAAAUCACCGAUUGCAUGUGCGAACAGCCGGCCAAAUUUCGUUCGAAUAACAUUUGAUUUAUCGGUGGAGUGAUAAACGAUGCAAGGUUGUUUCUCGAAUACUGCACGUGACAUUAAUUUACAUUUUACAUAGCCGGGUAAUAUAUCAUUCAUCGUUGCUAUCCGCAAAAUAAUAAAAAUGUAAAACCAUCGCAGCCACGUUGUUUAUCUAUGACUUUUACCGUUCACCGAAACGGGCUUAUACCUUUCGCGCGGUUAUUUUCCAUCGUGGCUCGUAAUUCUGUCGCGACCGGCAACGUAAGCGGGUUUCUUACACCUAAACUUUUGGCAACCGAACGAAACCGAAAAAAAAAAAAAAAAAAAAAAAAAA